AAUACCGACAACAAUGAAAUUUAUAGUAAGAGGAAAAUCCGUCGACUUUA
rnacentral:tRNA from 1 species